AAAUUAUUCGGUUGUCGUACUUUAAGUGAUUCAUAGUUACGAAAUAUUUAGGUUCCAUUACAUAAACAUUACAUAACUAAUCUCAAAUGGUACUAUAACAAUAUGCCAAUAUCGCAAAUCAAUCACCUAUUUAAAACUCAUAUAAUAAUAUGUAAUAUUCUGAUAAAAAACAAAGGAAUAUGUAAUCGAAUUGAAACAUCGAGACAGUAACAUGUGAAAUCUGUCUAGGCCGUGGGAUGUUGGAAGGUUUGAGCUGGCAAAGUCCAAGGCCGUCCAAUUCGCGGUUGCACGUUUCAAAGUUCAAACGUCGCUCCGAUGACGCAACUCUCUCAAAUGAUACCCGCAUCACUUAGCACCCAGCCCAUUGGUUACUUAAUUAAAAAGAAAAACCAAACGUCGGAGAAAUCAAGGUUUACCAAUAUAAACAGCAACAAUAACAUUGAUUGUACGCAACCUCGUCGCUCUAGAUCUCGAGCUGUAUUGUCGGCAUCGCCGUCCACGGCGUCGUAUUGUGAGAUUAUCAGGCAAUGGAUGCGGAUAAGCGGAAGCGCGACGACGGAGGAGAAUUAGAGGGGAAGAGAGCGAGAGGAGUCGAGGAAGAUCGUAAAAGAGGUCAGGAGACGGUAACGGAGGAGGAGGUGGAGGAGUUCUUUGCGAUACUCAGGCGGAUACAGGUGGCAGCCAAGCACUUCCGCAGGACAGCGUCGAUGGAAUGGAGGCGCUCUUUCGAAGUUGAAGAUUUUGAGGAAGAUAACGAGUCUCUUAUGAUGAAAGACCAAAAACAGGAAGAGAAAAAAAGGGAGGCGGGGGCGGAUACGGGUUUGGAUCUUAACACACAUCCCGUAUGAUCCAAACGAAGCUGAAACUGAAAGAAUUGUCUCAUUUUAUAUCUUGUUGUAAUUUGUAAUGUUUAUUACAGCAACAUUUUAUAUAUCUAAAAUCAAAGAAAUAUUGGAACUAAUAAUACUUUGUUGUUGUAGAUAUGUUCUUUGUACGUUGAGUUAAGAGUUAACAAAGAUUUACUUUUAAAUCUGA
rnacentral:sRNA from 1 species